UAACCUACGUAUUUACUACAGCCGGCCUCGAAAGGGUUAAUAUGCAACUCUGAAUGUCUACCACAUGAAAUGGAAGUAUAGAGACCCUACCAUAUGUAAUCCACUACACUUACAACACAUACAACAGAACACAUCUUCAUCACAGAGACAGAAAGCCGAUAUCGAAAGAGUCAAGAAUCUCUAUCAUCCGAUCUCGCUUCAUAUCUAACAUCAGCUUUCACACAUCUACGGCAAUUGCAAACCAGUGUGUAGAUCCUUAUACAGGUAGCUCCACAAUGCACGCUCUCACAGCAUCCCAUCUCUUAAUCCAUUCGAGCAUGGUAGAUGUUAUCGCCACUCUCCAACUGGAAUACGAAGCACCAAAACUAACUCUGCCGAACUGAUGAGUUUGUUAGAGAUGAUCAGUAGUCAGUUAACAGCCAAGCAGGCAACCCAGUCAUUGUAUAGCCUGACUGACCGAGCAAACGGAGAUAGUUGUGCAGUGCCCAACAAAGUAGAACUUGUGAUUUGUUGAUUUGUUCUAUAGAUUUGCUCAAGAAUGAUGAGAAUAGUGCGUGCAUAGAUGUGGAGGGUUUGGAAAUAGUGCUGUGGAAAUAAUGAUGGAGUAGAUGCAUUGCAAUGAGAUCGGCCUUUCGUUCCUACCACAAUUGCUGUCGGGUCCAUAAGGAGCCCGCGGCGCGAGGAUCAUGCGGCCAGCGAUGGGAGGGCCGACAUGUCGUCGGUGGAUAAUUCUGCGUCUGUCCAAGCGGGCCCGCUAAAACCAACCGCCGUGGGAUACACCUAUAUACUUACGCUCACACAACACUAGGAAUAAGUAUCUAACCAGUAACGUAAGUAAUAAAACCUUCUACUAAUUAUUUGAAUGUGAAAUUUAUACUUUUAUUUUGUUCAUGGAAUGACUUCGCGUACUUCUUCUAAAAUUGGUUCCACUGUUUCGAACCAGGUUGUUGGUUGGUAAGGUAGACAAACAUGCUAGUGACAAU